UAUAAACACUAGAUGGCUCAUGGGAGAUUUUCCAGCGUAGCUCACCGGCCGCCAUCUUGCUACAGUCAACAGCUACUCUGGUACGCGCUAUGGUAGCUGUUGUAAGAAGUACCUGACUAUGCCGGACUUUUGUGCAGCCUACGGAUGCUCUAAUCGCCGCAGUCUGGAAACAAGAACCCGUGGAAUCACCUUUCACGUGUUUCCCAAAACCGGAGAGAGGAGGAGGCAGUGGGAAGCUGCCCUAAGAAGGGACGGUUUUGUUUCCUCUGGCAGGACACUGCUCUGCAGUGAGCACUUCAGGAGUGAGGACUUUGA